UUGGGUUCCUCAAGACAGAGAAGGAGACUGUCCCAACGCGUCCCGCAGCCCACCCUGCCUCGAAACUCCCUGCGGUGAUGUCGGGGCUAGAGGAAUCCAGGGCUUGGUCCCUGCAGCUGAGGCCUACGGGAUAUCCCAGGAAAGAGCAGCCUCUCCGUAGUGGUGAAGAGUCUCUCAAGCCUUAGCGCUCUGGUGACCUCCGCGGGAUUCUGAGAAAAGCACUGCGGAACGGCGGGAGCGGGCCCUGCUGCUUGCUUCGCGCCCCCCACCCGCCCGGGGACCGCGACUAAGUCCCCGACGCAGCUCUUCCCUUUUCCUGAAUACCCUGGGACUCUGCUCCCGAGUUCCAGCUCCGAGGACUCAAAGACAGUCUCCGUUCCUCACUCUUCAAAGACCACCUCCUUUUCUAGAGGUGGGCUCCCCGACCUUGCGCUUCUAGAGCUGCAGGAGCGGCGCUGCACAGGUCUGACAAGCCCAGCUCAUUGGCGGGUAUCUGAGCCAUCAGUCUGAAAGACAUUUGGGGAAAAUUCAUAGAACAUAGAAAUUCAUAUUAU
rnacentral:lncRNA from 1 species